rnacentral:lncRNA from 1 species
UCCCGACUUCUCAUCCUCUUUCUUAACCGCCGGUCCUCCAGCUCCUCCUCCAUGGCUUCCGCUGACACCACCGUGACUGCCAGCACCGCCAGAGGAGUGAGAGUUGGAAGACUCGUACUUGUGGAGAAAAUUUUCAGCCUUUUCGAGGUACUGACCAACACCACUCUUUUCAUCAAGCUUGCCGUAUCUUUGAGCUGCGUCUAGUAUGUCGGCGGUGGCUCCGGCGACUUUAGCUUUGUCGAGUUUGUCUGUCUCGUUGCGAGAAGCGGCUUGAGCAGCCUCCGCUACGAUCUUGGCGCUAGCCAUGAGCUCGGCGUUUGUAGCUGGCUUAUGCAUUGUUGGAUCGGAGCUGGAAGCAGGUUUAUGUGUUGGAACGGUGUGGCCCGGUUUGUUAUUGUUGUGGUUCGGGUCAGGGUCUGAAGUUUCCGGUUUCUUGUCGGAGAAUUUCUUCUUUACUUGGUCGGUGAGGAAAUCCAUGUUUCUUGUCUCGUCUCAGACGAAAAAAGGUUGUUUUAGUUGAUCUUGAGUUUGGAAAAUGUAAAGUAACAAGUUAUUCGGGGAUGGUAUUUAUUGAAAGUGAGAAAGAUUAAUACUUUAUUCAUUGUCCACUAGUUUUAUUUUUGCCUCCGCUACUUAAUGGGGAUAAUUAUAGGCAUGAUCUUUCCACCACAACUUUAAAGAAAACGUAAUUAGCGUUUAUGGAUAUGGUCAAGAAGAGAGUCAAAUCAGUUCACAUUUCAUUGAUCCCUUACCCAAACAAAUAAACAAAACAAAUCCCCAAGUUCAUUGCCAUUUGUUUACCAUUUACCACAUGUUUACUUUCAGAGCCAUAUAUAUGGCCAUAACCCAAUAACACAUUUGUUUUAUCUCCAGAAUCUUAAAAUAUUUUAUAUAGAGACAUAAGCUACUAAACUGUUUAAUUCUUUUUUUUUCCUUACUUGGAGCCCAGAAUAUCAGAUCCGACCAUGUUUACUUAUACAAUUUAACACGUAAUUAUAGUAUUUAAGAGAAUGCCUUAUUUUGCUCCCUUGCCCUGAUGUCUGGUCUGAGUUCUUUCAUGUUGGCAAUGUGUACUUAUAGAGUUUAACACGUAAUUAUAGUAUUGUUAGAAAAUGAAUUAUAAUACUCCUUUUGUAUACAAAUUCAUGAUGUUUAAGAUUUCUCACACAUAUUAAGAAACAAUAAAUACAUUUUUCUAAUUAUUCAUUUUUGGUUUUAUCAACAAAAUUUCAUUUCUCAAAUUCUCGUAAUUUUACUUUUUAAUUUAUUUUUUAGUUUUAAAAAUAAUACAUUAAUUAUAUUAUAAAACAUCAAUCUUUUGUAUACAAGAUAAAAAAGGUUAAACACAAGAAUCUUCAAAAACUAUCAACUUUUACUAACAUGUAAGUGGGGAACUAAACUAACCUUUGGGUGUUUCACAUUGGGAGGCAAGAAUGGAUACAUCAAUGUCUCAAAGUUUGAUCUCCACCACAUCCCAAUGCAUUCUCCUACCUGCAUUUUAUUACAGUUUUGUAGUAUUAUAGAGAGACCAUUCUCAAGCCAAAAACAAUCAGAACAGUACUGAGGACAAGAAUCCAUGGUUCUUACCUCCAACCCGGAACAAGAACAUUCUCGUUAACCAAAAGCUUUGACGCGAGUUUGCGUUUCAGGCCUUCAAUAUCUAAGAAGAAACCAGAUUUCAGCAAUUGAGAUUUGAGCACAGAUAAAGAGGUUACAGUAAGAGUAAAAGUAAAACUUGAUUCACCAAGUCUCAAACGACCACUAGGAAGCUUGAAGAUGGAGUUUCUAUACUGAAGAAGCAAUACAUGAGGAUGCUUGAACAAUUCAACCUGAUGUAUCCCAAACUACAUUUUCCCAUGUAGUUUCCGAUCUAGUUUCAACCCAAAUCAACCCGAACCAAUCCCUAGACAAACCAACACCAAUCUGUCGCUAACCAAUGAGAAUACGCUACCAAAACCCAUACUGAAAUCGGUAAGGUUCAUCAGAUUUCGUACCUGAAGCGAGGUGGCUGGACUGGUUCCAAGUUGGAUAUUAUGGAUCUUGAGGCUUCUUGUUUCAGAGAAAGAAUUCAAAGCCAGAAAAAAUAUAUGAAAAUGACGAAGGCGACAAGACAGACGAGAUGAAACAAGGGAGAAUUUGCGAGAUAUCUGAGAUUGCAAAAAAAAUUACAUGUCAUUGAUUUUAACAUAAUGUAAUAACUAACAUUUAUGCCAUUCUACCUUUUCUUCCUUUAAUUAUCCAGUGACUUUGUUUUGUUAGAGAUGAUGUGGUCAAAAAAAUAUGGUGAAUAAGAUACUUAAAUAUGAUGUCAACAAAAUAAGAUGUGGCUAAAAUUUAGUGCACACUAUUGACAACGACAAUGUCAAAGUCAUCUACAUCACUGUUUUUUUACCUUUAAUUAGUAAAUCUAUACUGUAAUCAGUAAAUUAUAAACCAAAUAUAAUCUAUAACUAUUUUACUAUAUAUUUAAAAUUUAUCAGCCAUAGUUAUGAAACAUACAUAUUAAAUCAUACCCACCCACUUAAAUAUUAAACCCCAGACAAACCCACUAGUUACUAAAUCUAAACCCAAAUAUAAUCUUAACCAUAUGUUGCGAGUGUACAAUUAUAUCUCAGUGACAUAGUACAACACCCAAGAUGCGGUAAGAACUAUACAUAAUAAACCCACCCAAGAUCGCUGACUACUAUACCCAAACCCUUACUUAGUAAAUCUAAACCCUAACCAGGAACCUAUAAACUCAAAUACAAUCUAUAAACUAUUUUUCAAUAUUAGACAAUCUAAACCCUAACAAGGAACCUAUAACAUGGCAAAUUAUUACAUAUUUAAGAAAUAGUAUAGAACUAUUGUCUCAAAUAGUAUAGAAAUAUUGUCACAAAUUGACUUUGUAAAUGCUUUAGAGAAGUUUUGAUCAUUACGAAUAAACCAAUAUAGUAUAUUACACUAAUAUAAGAGUUUAUAUGCUAUCUAACCAAAUUUGACUACUAUACCCACCCACUUAAAUAUUUAACCCUAGACAAACUCUCUAGUUACUAAAUCUAAACCCAAAUAACUUAACUAUAAACCCAAAUAGAAUCUAUAUAAUAUGCUGCCAAUUUUCUCAACGUAGACGGCAUAGUAUGAACCUUUAUAAAUAGUAUAGAAUGACUGACUCACACCCAACUUUAAAUAUUAAACUCUAAACAGUUAUCACUAAACCCAAGACUCAACCCUCACCUUUCAAAUACUAAACCCUAAAUCUUAAUCACAAAAUCCUAAACCAUACCACCCAUUUAAAUAUUAAACCCUAAACGAACUCCCUAGUUACUAAAAUCUAAACCCAAAUAUAAUCUUAACCAUAGGUUCUGAGUGUACAAUUCUAUCUCAGUGACAUAGUACAACACCCAAACUGCGGUAAGAACUAUACAUAAUUAAUCCACCCAAAAUUACUGACUACUAUACCUAAACCCCUACUUAGUAAAUCUAAACUCUAACCAGGAACCUAUAAACCCAAAUACAAUCUAUAAGUUGUUUUCUAAUAUUACACAAAUUAAACCCUAAUUAGGAACUUGUAACAUGGCAGAUUAUUACAUAUAUAAGAAAUAUGAUAGAACUAUUGUCUCAGGUAGUAUAGAAUUAUUGUCUCAAAUUGACUUUGUAAAUGCUUUAGAGAAGUUUUGAUCAUUGCGAAUAAACUAAUAUAGUAUAGAAUAUAGUAUAGUAUAGUACCCUAAUAUAAGGGUUUAUUUGCUCUCUAACCAAAUUUGGUUUUAAUCAUUACACAUAAACCAAUAUAGUAUGAAUUGCAUAUUACAACCAAUCACACAAAAUGACAGAGAAAAGAACUAUCAAAUUUGAAGACAUGACAAAUUAUUACAUUUUAGAGAAUAGUAUAGAAAUACGUCUCAAAUAGUAUGGUACAUGUAUAUAAAGCUACAUUAAAGAAUCGAUACUUAACUAUUUUUUUCAUCGAAUAUAGUAUAGACGGCGAGUUCAUCUUCUUCAAUUCAUUUUUUUUUCACAGGCUGAUACACAUUCACUUGAAUCGCCGUCAUUAUUCUUCACCACCAUAUAGAGAUCAUCUUCAUUUCCUCUCUCUUUUUCGACACGGCGACACUUUUACCGAUCCGCCGUCGUUAUUCUUCACCACUCUAUAUGUAAAGCAUCAUGGAUAUAACCCUGAUGCGAUAAUCUCAAUCUCAUUUGCAAGAUUCAAAAACGAAAACAAAGUAUGAAAGCAAAAACAUGAUUAUGAAACUAAAAAUCAAUGAUUUAAGAGAAAGAGAAAAAUAAAUGAAAGAGUUGGUGUGUCUACUCACCGUGUAUGCCUUAACAGUUGUCUCUUAUUUAUCACAAUUGGUUGUCCUUCUUGUGAGAAGAAAUCAAUUCCAGAAUAAAUCUGGGAAGAAGACUUUUAUCUUUUGCAAAGUCACCAAAAUAAAUUACAUAUGAAAGAAUGUGUUUUUCAAAGGGCCACAAGUUAUGUUUUAGUAUUAUUAUUAUUAAAUCAAUUUAUUUUUUUUCUUACAUGUUUCACCGGUUGCAUGUGAGGGGCAAUAUGUCAAUAUUUUAUAUAAGAGGCAAGUUGUAUAGAUGAGUUAGGGGUUUUAGAUAGUGAAUGAAUUAUAAUUUGUUUGAAGGUUAUAGAGCCCAAUUUCCCAUGAAAGAAGAGUAAAAGAUUUUAAAAAAAAAAUUAAAUUAUAGGAUAAGAUCCAUUUGUAUCGGGCUUGGGUGGGUAACCCAUAGUACUGUGGUUGGGUUGGUAAUUCUGAAGAUUCAUUAAGGGAUUUAUUGUAUUUAGAUGUGUUUUGGAUUUAAAAGAAAAUCAAAAGUUAAAUACUUUUAUAAGAGGGACAUAUUAGAUAUUUUUAAGAACACUUGGGGUAUAUGGAGUUAAAAGUUCAUUUCACAUAAUUUUACCUUUUAAUUUAUUUUUUAGUUUUAAAAAUAAUACAUUAAUUAUAUUAUAAAUGGAUGAUUGCAUAAAACCCCCUGUAAAUACCAUCACCCUAUCUAUUCCCACCUAUACUAUCAAGCUCUUUACCAAACCACUGAUGCUAAAGAAGAAGCAACUAUCAUGUUCGAGGACGAAGCAUAUUCUGCCCAAGAUCUUCAUCACCCACAGAUUUCAGAAAAUUGGAGAGGUCCAAGGGAUCUUCAGUAAUGUCCAAAUCAGGGGGAGUAAUGUGUAUUGUACUUUUUUUCCUUCACCAUGGUUUUGUCCCAAUUGGAUUUUCCUGGUAAUGUUUUAAUAAGGCAACAUUAAAGCACAUUACAAGCUCUAAAUGGUUAUGACAUCCAAUGGAGAGUGUUAUGAACCAGAUUGUGUAUUGCUCAUAACCAAGAGAUUAUGAUUUGUAAUCUUUCUAUUUAUCUAUGACGAUGUAAUUUUCUAUAUAACGAAUCUCUAUGUUAUGAAUAAAGAUAAACUUUUUCAUUAUUUUUAUAACAUAAUUUAAGUUUUAUGUUUGAUUUUGAGUUUAGAUGUCUCCAUCAUAACUUUUGUGAAAACCCUAAAAAGAGAAUCAGAUCUGGAUAAACCAAUUCUAUCUGAAUAUAAUUCUGGUUUUGGUUUACCUUCGGAUGCUGGUUUUUAAACAUCUUAAGAUCAUCUCUAGUUUUACAAAGUUAAUGGCUUCCCAUGAGUAAUGAGAACUAAUCAAAGCUAAUAUUUUAUUUUACAUGAUCCAUCAGUUAACAAAUUCAAAACUGACAACUUAUAUUUAAUAGUAACCAUGGAAGAUAAUAUAUCACUACCAUAAUUAUUUAUUUGUUGAUCUACUAAUUAAACAUUAAUCACUUCAUGAAACCUUGAGCCAUCUUAGCAUAGUCUCCUAACCCAUGGCUGCCACCUCCCGACUUCUCAUCCUCUUUCUUAACCGCCGGUCCUCCAGCUCCUCCUCCAUGGCUUCCGCUGACACCACCGUGACUGCCAGCACCGCCAGAGGAGUGAGAGUUGGAAGACUCGUACUUGUGGAGAAAAUUUUCAGCCUUUUCGAGGUACUGACCAACACCACUCUUUUCAUCAAGCUUGCCGUAUCUUUGAGCUGCGUCUAGUAUGUCGGCGGUGGCUCCGGCGACUUUAGCUUUGUCGAGUUUGUCUGUCUCGUUGCGAGAAGCGGCUUGAGCAGCCUCCGCUACGAUCUUGGCGCUAGCCAUGAGCUCGGCGUUUGUAGCUGGCUUAUGCAUUGUUGGAUCGGAGCUGGAAGCAG